rnacentral:rRNA from 1 species
UACAGAGGUCUCAAGCGUUGUUCGGAUUCAUUGGGCGUAAAGGGUGCGUAGGCGGCGCGGUAAGUCGGGUGUGAAAUCUUGGAGCUUAACUCCGAAACUGCAUUCGAUACUGCCGUGCUUGAGGACUGGAGAGGAGACUGGAAUUUACGGUGUAGCGGUGAAAUGCGUAGAUAUCAGAAGGAACAUCAGUGGCGAAAGCGGCUUCCUGGUCCAGUACCGACGUUCAGGCACGAAAGCGUGGGGAGCAAACAGG